rnacentral:misc_RNA from 1 species
GAAAUGCGAUACUUGGUGUGAAUUGCAGAAUCCCGUGAAUCAUCGAGUUUUUGAACGCAAGUUGCGCCCAAAGCCAUUCGGCCGAGGGCACGUCUGCCUGGGUGUCACGUAAACGUCUCUCCCAACCAACUUUCGGUUGACGGAGCGGAUAUUGGCCUCCCGUGAGCCUCGAGCUCGUGGUUGGCCUAAAUAUCGAGUCCGCGGCCGGACGGCCUUCGACAUUCGGUGGUUGUAAUGACUCUCUGAGCGUGUCGUGGCCCGAAAGCCGCGGGAAUCUCAAGACCCUUCUAUUUAAAAAAUCGCGACCCCAGGUCAGGCGGGAUUACCCGCUGAGUUUAA